rnacentral:lncRNA from 1 species
CAGACACCUCCCAGGAGCUAGCAACAAGGAAAUAAUCUAGUGAUAGAGCUACGGAAGAUUUCAGACUUCAUUUGUAUGGGGAAGCCUGAAGCUGAAUGGUAGCGAUUCUAAUGAACCAUACACUUUCUUAACUGUGGAGGAAAAAAAGACAAAACUGUUAUUUGGAGCCGAAUCGAGCAGGCAGUUUAACAAGCAACAGGAAAUGUUUAAAAGCACCAAGAUCAUUAUCCAGUAAAAUUAAAUCUCCAAACCAAAGGGCUGAACACUCAAUCCAUGGGAAUUCUUCAAGUGGAACUACUAUCAGCCUCAAGAACACAACUAUGCAGGUAAAGCCAUACACUGUACAGGUAAAGCCACACAUCUGUAUGGGGAAAACUAUUAGAUAUACUGGACCAUCUGGGGAGAGAAGAGCAAUUCAAGCUGUCCCCAGCCUGAGCAGUGGUGUGUCCUCCUCUCAGCAGGUUCAGAUG